UCUACCUGGAAGGUUCCCUGUAGGGGUUGGUGGGCAGGCUGCCCCCUCCCACAUGUGCUCUGUGGCACUGCCUCUCUGUGGAGCUGGACUUCCUCUCCCUUUUUGGGAGGACAACAGAUGGAAGCCUCAUCUUAUGCUGGCACAGCCUCAUCUCAUGCUGGCACAUUGCUGCCAAGAGGCCAGGAAAUCUCUGUUGUGGGCCUCCUACCCUGGUGGCAGAGCCAACUGUGCUCCUAGGUGUUCUGGUGACUUCUGAGGGCCUCGCAUGAAAGAUAACGCCCAAAUCAACAAAUCUGCCAUUGUGGCUUUGAAGAGACUGUUUCAAUCACUUUAUUUUGUCUUUAUGUCAGGUUUGCCAGAUGGCUUGGGUCUUUCUGAGGUCCUGUACCGAGGGGGCACAGAGAGAACUGGUGCAGCUUCAAAGCUCCUUUUUAAUCUUUAGCAACAUCACAGCGGCUGGGAAACUGCCUCGGCUCCCUCAAGUCUCUCCCACAAAAGAGGCGCGGCCGAGGCUCUAAUGAAAGCCAGAUAAAGGGAUGGCUGGAAUCAGAAACAGAGGGAAAAGAGCAGUCGUUAGUCUUUCUUGUAGCUGUUUCAAAAGAAAUUCUAAGACAAAUUAUGGCUUUGGGUGUUUUUCUAAAAGGACUGCAGCAGGGAGAGGAGGUGGGGGAGGUGCUUUGACCCCUCAGCACCCUUCCCCUUGCAUGAAAGGCAGAGGAGACUGAAAAAAGGCUGAAAUACAACAAUAAACUUUCUGCUUGUGCGCGUGGGGAUGAAAGGCGCGCUGGCAUAAUUAUGGGCGAGGGUGCGCGGGGGCGGGCGGGCGGCUUUACCUUGCCGCCAGCGCUAUUAAUGAUGAGGCUCCCUCUUUUUCUUCUCUAGAAGGGGUGCCUUUGGUUUUCGGGAAUGGGGUGGGGCACCGUGCGCCGAGGCUGACAUUUGGCGCAGGUGGUGGGGAUGCGAUGCAUUGCUCAGUGCAGAGGUGCUUGGGAGCCACAGCGCCCUCGUGGCUGCCAAGGCCCUGUCAUCGUGAGAAGGAGGCAGAUGUACCGGUGGGUCAUCCUGCCUCCCUUUCGCCCUCCUUUAAGGUCUCAAGGUCUGUCUCUUGGGCCCUGGGGAGGGUUGGGGGGGCGGGGGCGUUCUGACCCCUAAUUCUAGCUCCACAUGGGUCAGUCCUAUUCUGGGAGAGUUAGAGGGGUUCCCACCUGUCCUCUUCCAUUGCACACGCUGUCUUAAAUCCACACUGUCAGCCCAAAUGUCAGGCCCUACCAGUGCUGCUGAGAUCUCAUGGUGUGCCGGGCUAUCCUUACCUCCUAUCUCACCUUGGGCCAUCUUAGUUUCCAUGGAUGUUGGUCAGCUACUUGGCAAGAUCUUGUGGGCAUGGGACAGCUAAGGUUUGAUAGGCAGGCAGGGAAGAGGUGGGGAAGC
rnacentral:lncRNA from 1 species